rnacentral:rRNA from 1 species
AGUGAACGCUGGCGGUAGGCCUAACACAUGCAAGUCGAACGGCAGCACAGUAAGAGCUUGCCCUUACGGGUGGCGAGUGGCGGACGGGUGAGGAAUACAUCGGAAUCUACUUUUUCGUGGGGGAUAACGUAGGGAAACUUACGCUAAUACCGCAUACGACCUACGGGUGAAAGCAGGGGAUCUUCGGACCUUGCGCGAUUGAAUGAGCCGAUGUCGGAUUAGCUAGUUGGCGGGGUAAAGGCCCACCAAGGCGACGAUCCGUAGCUGGUCUGAGAGGAUGAUCAGCCACACUGGAACUGAGACACGGUCCAGACUCCUACGGGAGGCAGCAGUGGGGAAUAUGGGACAAUGGGCGCAAGCCUGAUCCAGCCAUACCGCGUGGGUGAAGAAGGCCUUCGGGUUGUAAAGCCCUUUUGUUGGGAAAGAAAAGCAGCAGGUUAAUACCCCGCUGUUCUGACGGUACCCAAAGAAUAAGCACCGGCUAACUUCGU